GUUUCCGGUUGGUCAAAAAGUCAAUUACCCAGUACGCGACACCACAGGGAAUUGAUAUAGGUUGAAAAUUUUUUGGACAAGAAGGUUGUGGUCAGUUAAGUCAAAUGCUUUUUCAUAAUCGAACAGAACUACACAAACUUCGGCACCUGAUCCCUCUGUAGUUUUCAGCCAGUGGUGAAUCAUAGACACUAGCUAGGGCAUGACUUGUAGAGGAAUUGGGUAUACAACCAUAUGCUUGGGUUUCAUAGACGUCACACUGGGGGUCAACUCUAAAACAAAACACAGUUAUCAGAGUGAGUCGAUUGUUCGUUUUAUGUAUUUGGUGGCAAAUACAUGGAAUUUCGUAUAAUUUUCUUACUCCAGUACAGCAUAAGCAUCAAUACAUUUGAGGUUGACCCCCCAUCAGAUUCACUACAUAA
rnacentral:lncRNA from 1 species